AUUACCCCAGAUAGCCAUCCCGUGGAGUCUAUUCGUAUGAAGCACAGACUUUGUGAACACUUUAACUCCACGGCGAUUGGACUGUGUGCAUAGGAUCUGAGUGCUAUUCUGUACUUUUGUGCGCUCAGAUCUAAGCUAUCUGGGGAUAGGUAGAAUGUAUAUGUUUUGUGCAACAGUUGUAACUUUAUACAUUUUUAAGUCUUUUACUCUCUUUUACUGCCAUGUGGUUAAUGGAGUUUUGCCUCUGUCCUGGGAGAUAAUUGGAUUUCUUCCCAAUUAUCUCCAGGACAGAGGGAGGGAAGUUAGGAUGCAUUGUGGGGAUGUUUUACCUCUGUGUGUCUGUCAUUGGUUCACGUCUGUCCUUUGUCACAGUCUCCCAUUUGGUCGCCUAGGGGAGUGUCCACCAGGUGGGAGACCAGCAUAAAUACUGGGCAGGUAGCCCUCAUUAAACCAGACCUCUGCUUGACCCUCAACACGGAGCUCUGUCUCGUUCUUGGGGGGAUUUACUGUAUGCUGAUAGAGACUGAUUGCUAGGAGUGUAA